UACGGAGGGUGCAAGCGUUAUCCGGAUUCACUGGGUUAAAGGGUGCGUAGGAGGACUGGUAAGUCAGUGGUGAAAUCCCCGAGCUUAACUUGGGAACUGCCGUUGAUACUAUCAGUCUUGAAUACCGUGGAGGUGAGCGGAAUAUGUCAUGUAGCGGUGAAAUGCUUAGAGUAUGACAUAGAACACCAAUUGCGAAGGCAGCUCGCUACACGAAUAUUGACUCUGAGGCACGAAGCGUGGGGAUCAAACAGG
rnacentral:rRNA from 1 species